rnacentral:rRNA from 1 species
AUUGAACGCUGGCGGCAGGCCUAACACAUGCAAGUCGAGCGAGCGGCGGACGGGUGAGUAAUGUAUGGGGACUGCCCGAUAGAGGGGGAUACCUACUGGAAACGGUGGCUAAUACCGCAUACUAUCGGAUAACCCAUAUGGGAUUAGCUAGUAGGUGGGGAAAAGGCUCACCUAGGCGACGAUCUCUAGCUGGUCUGAGAGGAUGAUCAGCCACACGUCGAAGAAGACACGGCCCAGAAUCCUACGGAGGCAGCAGUGGGGAAUAUUGCACAAGGGGCGCAAGCCUGAUGCAGCCAUGCCGCGUGUAUGAAGAAGGCCUUCGGGGUGUAAAGGACUUUCAGCGGGGAGGCGUUACCCGCAGAAGAAGCACCGGCUAACUCCGUGCCAGCAGCCGCGGUAAUUC